GAUGAACGCUGGCGGCGUGCCUAAUACAUGCAAGUCGAGCGAACGGACGAGAAGCUUGCUUCUCUGAUGUUAGCGGCGCACGGGUGAGUAACACGUGGAUAACCUACCUAUAAGACUGGGAUAACUUCGGGAAACCGGAGCUAAUACCGGAUAAUAUUUUGAACCGCAUGGUUCAAAAGUGAAAGACGGUCUUGCUGUCACUUAUAGAUGGAUCCGCGCUGCAUUAGCUAGUUGGUAAGGUAACGGCUUACCAAGGCAACGAUGCAUAGCCGACCUGAGAGGGUGAUCGGCCACACUGGAACUGAGACACGGUCCAGACUCCUACGGGAGGCAGCAGUAGGGAAUCUUCCGCAAAGGGCGAAAGCCUGACGGAGCAACGCCGCGUGAGUGAUGAAGGUCUUCGGAUCGUAAAACUCUGUUAUUAGGGAAGAACAUAUGUGUAAGUAACUGUGCACAUCUUGACGGUACCUAAUCAGAAAGCCACGGCUAACUACGUG
rnacentral:rRNA from 1 species